UUCUCUCCAAAGAACCACAUAAACUUGAGCAAAUCUGAUUGUUCAAAGCCCCCUCAGAUCCUAACCUUAUUGGAGGCGAAGUGUAUAUUAUCUACCCAAGAAAAGCAUUCUAUGUUGCAUUCUUGAGUGCAGUAUUGGUGAGCCUUGAUGAAUGGUUUAGUUGGAGGAGAGCAUGACUUGAGACAAUUACUCCUAUUGUAAAGCAUUACUCCUAUUUGAAAAUGUGGAGUAGGCACUGAAAUGAGACUUUGAUGAAAGGAAGAACACAACAUUUAGCAAAGCCAAGAAUUUAAUCAACAAUAGCUUUGAUUCAUCACAGAUGAAGUUCUACUCAUUCUUGGCAAAUUUGCAUCAUGUGGUACCACAUGCCUUGAAACUGACAUCACAUACAAAACUUUGCAUUGAAAAAUAAAUAAAAUAAAUAAAUUUAAUAAAAAUUAAA
rnacentral:lncRNA from 1 species